rnacentral:lncRNA from 1 species
CCGACAUCCAACCUCCGACGACAUCUCUCCAAAUCUCUCGGGCGGUCGAGCCCCCGCAACACUCCCAAGUUUUGCUGAUGGGUAAGCCCCCACCAGAGUCAACCGGAUUCUUCACGACGGACGGACUCCACCCAAAUUUCUAUGAUGAUCGACCAUCUUCUAGACUCUCUCCGAACUCCUACGGGAGCCGGACUUCGCCCCC